GACGAACGCUGGCGGCGUGCUUAACACAUGCAAGUCGAACGGAAAGGACCUGCUUUUGUGGGGUGCUCGAGUGGCGAACGGGUGAGUAACACGUGAGUAACCUGCCCUUGACUUUGGGAUAACUUCAGGAAACUGGGGCUAAUACCGGAUAGGCGCUCCUGCUGCAUGGUGGGGGUUGGAAAGGUUCGGCGGUUGGGGAUGGACUCGCGGCUUGUCAGCUUGUUGGUGGGGUAGUGGCUUACCAAGGCGUUGACGGGUAGCAGGCCUGAGAGGGGGAGCGGCAAGGUUAGGUCUGAGAUGCGGCCCAGACUCGUACGGGAGGCAGCGGUGGGGAAUAUUGCACAGUGGGCGGAAGCAUGAUGCGGCAACGCGGCGUGGGGGAUGGCGGCCAUCGGUUUGUAAACCGCUUUCGCCUGGGACGAAGAGUGAGUGACGGUAAUGGGUAAAGAAGCGACGGCUAACUACGUG
rnacentral:rRNA from 1 species